GUCGUUACCUUUUUGGUGGUUUUCUUCUCGUACUGCAGGUAUCGGGACUCAACCACUCUUCCACCUGUGGGGGACACGUUGUUGGUUUAUAACAAAACUACAACAGUGGAGUGUGAGAACUGGCCCAGCCCCCCGCCCCUGCCAUGGAGAGUCCGGGGUGGAUUCUCCACAGAAGCAGUAUUGUGACGAAGGAUAUAAUUUGCGUUCAAGAACCAGACCACGUGUAAACAUAAUAAACGUUAGAGACGAGAUCAUCGAGCAGCACUGUAGCGUAUGAACCUCCAGUCCCUUGGAACUGGAAUCCUGCUCUAACUCUGCACUGGCCCACAGCACACUUAGAGGAAAACAGUUCACUGUAUCAGAGGCUUGAGCUCCGACGAGGGGGAUCCUCCAGUCUACUGCCCCAAGUGGCACGGACUGCCAAGAGUCAAGGGAGGCUGUGAGCAGUGACUGCAGACCCACACGGGGACCCCAGAUGUGGGCACGCCCCCGAGGCGCUUACAGAGAAGCAACGGAGACUCCCGGGUUCAAUAACAAGUUCGGCUCAUGCUCUCCUCACCCACACUUCCUAGUGGCGAGUCCUGCGCACAGCCCGUGACGCGCCCCCCCCCCCCCCCCCACGGCUGGAAGGGCCCGCUGCCCUGGAUGAUGUCCGCCGGGACCUGCCGGACCCCUGGCUGCAGGCCUGGGUGACCAGAUUCAGCAUCACACGAAGGUGUGUGUGAAAUAAAGUCCUAGCUUCCCUGC